rnacentral:rRNA from 1 species
GAUGAACGCUAGCGGCAGGCCUAAUACAUGCAAGACGAACGGUAAGUUUGAUAGCAAUAUUGAACCUAGAGUGUCGUAAGGGUGCGUAACACGUAUGCAAUCUACCCGAAACUGGAGCAUAGCUCCCCGAAAGGGGAAUUAACACUCCAUAAGAUCAUGGUCCGGCAUCGGGCAGUGAUUAAAACUGAGGUGGUUUCGGAUGAGCAUGCGUUUGAUUAGUUAGUUGGUGAGGUAACGGCUCACCAAGACGAUGAUCAAUAGGGGAACUGAGAGGUUGAUCCCCCACACUGGCACUGAGAUACGGGCCAGACUCCUACGGGAGGCAGCAGUAGGGAAUAUUGGACAAUGGGUGAGAGCCUGAUCCAGCCAUGCCGCGUGCAGGAAGAAGGGCCCUUCUGGGUGUAAACUGCUUUUGCCAGGGGAUAAAAUUUCCAUGCGUGGAGAAUUGAAGGUACCUGGUGAAUAAGCCAC